AGCAGCCGCGGUAAUUCCAGCUCCAAUAGCGUAUAUUAAAGUUGUUGCAGUUAAAAAGCUCGUAGUUGAAUUUCGGGAUUAAUAUGUUGGUCGUGCCUCGGUACGUACUAGCUUAUUGGUUUCUUCCUUCUGACGAACCAUGAUGUCAUUUAUUUGGUGUUAUGAGGAAUCAGGACUGGUUACUUUGAAAAAUUAGAGUGUUUAAAGCAGGCUCACGCUUGAAUACAUUAGCAUGGAAUAAUGAAAUAGGACGUUUGAUUCUAUUUUGUUGGUUUCUAGGAUCGACGUAAUGAUUAAUAGGGAUAGUUGGGGGCAUUAGUAUUCAAUUGUCAGAGUGAAAUUCUUGGAUUUAUUGAAGACUAACUACUGCGAAAGCAUUUGCCAAGGA
rnacentral:rRNA from 1 species